rnacentral:rRNA from 1 species
AACGCUAGCUACAGGCUUAACACAUGCAAGUCGAGGGGNAGCAAGAGANAAGCUUGCUUCUAUUGCNGNCGACCGGCGCACGGGUGAGUAACGCGUAUCCAACCUUCCGUACACUCAGGGAUAGCCUUUCGAAAGAAAGAUUAAUACCUGAUGGUAUGAUGAGAUUGCAUGAUAGCAUCAUUAAAGAUUUAUCGGUGUACGAUGGGGAUGCGUUCCAUUAGGUAGUAGGCGGGGUAACGGCCCACCUAGCCAACGAUGGAUAGGGGUUCUGAGAGGAAGGUCCCCCACAUUGGAACUGAGACACGGUCCAAACUCCUACGGGAGGCAGCAGUGAGGAAUAUUGGUCAAUGGACGGGAGUCUGAACCAGCCAAGUAGCGUGAAGGAUGAAGGUCCUACGGAUUGUAAACUUCUUUUAUAAGGGAAUAAACCCUCCCACGUGUGGGAGCUUGUAUGUACCUUAUGAAUAAGCAUCGGCUAACUCCGUGCCAGCAGCCGCGGUAAUACGGAGGAUGCGAGCGUUAUCCGGAUUUAUUGGGUUUAAAGGGAGCGCAGACGGGUCGUUAAGUCAGCUGUGAAAGUUUGGGGCUCAACCUUAAAAUUGCAGUUGAUACUGGCGUCCUUGAGUGCGGUUGAGGUGUGCGGAAUUCGUGGUGUAGCGGUGAAAUGCUUAGAUAUCACGAAGAACUCCGAUUG